AAAUGUUCAGCAAUAUUCAUGUGAGUGUCAAAGACAAGAGGGUGUACAGAUACCUGUAUAAAUAGCAGCUAUUUUGACGUGGGCUAUUAUUCUAGCUAUCAUUUGACAGCGCCCCACAUUGCCUCAGAGAGUUAGGGCACCGACAAAUAGAUAAAGAUAUAAUUACAGGGGGGUAGCUGUGAAAAUAACAUCUCUGCUCUAUAAUGGGCGUCAUAGGGUUGAUAUUUGUCGUGGCCAGUUUUCUCUCACUAACCGCCGUCCAAGGACAAUUGCAAGUGGGACGUCCAUGUACAGCUUGUGUCAAUUUCAGUCUCGUCAAUAGUACAACCACCUGCGUUAACAUCAGGGACCCUUGUGACCCAAAUUUUGGACAGCCGUGUCGCUAUCCUUAUCGUUGUGUGUCUGGUUGCGACUGCAGCGCCAUCUGCGCCCUGGGUUAUUUCUGCUUUGACCCAAGCCACAUUUAUGGGAAAUAACAGGUGGAAAAAAAUGAAUAUAACAGCAACUACAUGUGGAACGCGUUCAAAAGCACGACAAAUAGAUAGGCGUUAAUGUACAAUGUAGAUUUCAUUACACACAGGAGACACUCUUUUGUUUUGUAUGGGAAAUUUUUCGGUCACAGGACUGGCCAUUUAUUAUUAUGUGGCAGUCACGUUCUUUAAAUAAUACAUUUACAGGCACGGUGCUUUCUAGAGACGGAAACGGAAUAAUAUUAUACGGCUGUAUCAAAACAUAUAUAGCCGAGACAUUAAAAAAUAAAGAAAAUUAGAAUACCCCUGUAUAUAUCUACCGUUUACGUACAGCUUACAUUGCUUUGUUUCACAUAUUCCACGCUAGCUAAGCGUUCCCUAAAUUAUAACAAAAA